rnacentral:rRNA from 1 species
UACGGGGGGGCAAGCGUUGUUCGGAAUUACUGGGCGUAAAGGGCUCGUAGGCGGCCAACUAAGUCGGAUGUGAAAUCCCCAGGCUCAACUUGGGAACUGCAUCCGAUACUGGAUGGCUUGAAUUCGGGAGAGGGAUGCAGAAUUCCAGGUGUAGCGGUGAAAUGCGUAGAUAUCUGGAGGAAUACCGGUGGCGAAGGCGGCAUCCUGGACCGACAUUGACGCUGAGGAGCGAAAGCUAGGGAGCAACGGG